UACGUAGGUGGCGAGCGUUGUCCGGAUUUACUGGGCGUAAAGGGCUAGUAGGCGGCUUAGCAAGUCGGGUGUGAAAACUUCAGGCUCAACCUGGAGCGGCCAUCCGAUACUGCUAUGGCUAGAGUCCGGUAGGGGACCACGGAAUUCCUGGUGUAGCGGUGAAAUGCGCAGAUAUCAGGAGGAACACCGGUGGCGAAGGCGG
rnacentral:rRNA from 1 species